ensembl:antisense Hoxaas3 Hoxa cluster antisense RNA 3
AUUCAUUUGGCACCCAAAUGUCAUAUAGCCGGAACUGGGGCUUAUAAAGUUUACUGUUUUAUAACUUUUAAAAGGAAAGACGGCAUCCGUGUAAGCAGCCAGUAAAUGUGCAAAUCUCUAGUUGGGCUUUAGCUGCUCUGAGGAGUUUCCCAGUGGAGCUAGGAUGGGAAUUCCACACACGCAUCUAGCCCCUCUUCCAGGGCUCGAGAAAUCACUCUAACCAGAAAACCGGGCAAACGAAGCAGGCAACCAUCGGAGAACUCUGAAUUAGUCUCACCUUCAGACCGCGGCUCCCAGAAGCUUCUGCCUCUCUGACAGCUGUCGCUUCGGCAGCCCAAGAGACGAAUUGUCCUCCUUCCUGGUGCCAGAGGACGCAGGAAAUUAGCCAGGUUGCAAGUUGCAAAGCAGCGGCGGCUGCUCCAGGAACUGGACGCGCUCCACCUCCAGCGACAACCGCUGGCCUGGGCCUGGCAGCGGCUUCCCCUCGCUCGCCAUCGCCGGACAAAGCGCAGCCCAGGCAGGCUGGCAAGGCAGAGCUCCGAAGCACGCAGGAUGGAGCGGAGCAAAAGAAUGCGGCUCUAUUCUCGCAAGGGAAAUUAUAAAAAAGUUCAUGUUCACGGUUCCUAUCCACAUGACCGACAGCGGCCAAUGGAAGGGCCGAACAACUCAUAAAGUUGUAUUGCAAAGUUGUAAAUUUUCAUAAACAACAACGGAUUUAUGACCCUUUCCCCAUCACUAAGAGGAGGCGGCUCUUACACAGACGCCAUCUUACCACCGAGUCUGUCCCGAUUUGGGGCUGCAGGUUUUUCAGACCCUUUUAGGUCCGAUUUUAUUUAUAAAAAAAAAAAAAAAAAAAAAAAAAAAAAAAAA